GCAGAGGUCAUGAGGCAAGCUGCAGAGGAUGCGCAGGACUUGCGAUACAGGAUCCCUGUGACACAGAACAAAAGUUUAUUUAGCCUGAUAUGAACAAACAUGCUUUCUACUGGAGGAAAUGAGCCCCAAACGAAGAAAGAGCUCAUGGGAGAAUUUGGAGUCUACAGAGCAAUACUCACAAACACAAAAGUUAUAAAUAUUCUCUCUUUCUCCAUCCUUGUAACUAGGCUGCUGUAGAAAGUUGGAGUCAGAACGAAAUGACUUGCCUUGUAAGAAGCCCUCUAGAGACUGUUCUGCACCUUUUUUUAAUUGAAGGCGUGUAAUAUGUACAUUAAAUAUGCAUUUUAAAUUUU